rnacentral:tRNA from 1 species
GGGUAGGUAGCUCAGGUGGUAGAGCAACGGACUGAAAAUCCGUGUGUCGCGAGUUCAACUCUCGCCCUACCCA